GACGAACGCUGGCGGCGUGCUUAACACAUGCAAGUCGAACGGAAAGGCCCUGCUUUUGUGGGGUGCUCGAGUGGCGAACGGGUGAGUAACACGUGAGUAACCUGCCCUUGACUUUGGGAUAACUUCAGGAAACUGGGGCUAAUACCGGAUAGGAGCUCCUGCUGCAUGGUGGGGGUUGGAAAGUUUCGGCGGUUGGGGAUGGACUCGCGGCUUAUCAGCUUGUUGGUGGGGUAGUGGCUUACCAAGGCUUUGACGGGUAGCCGGCCUGAGAGGGUGACCGGCCACAUUGGGACUGAGAGACGGCCCAGACUCCUACGGGAGGCAGCAGUGGGGAAUAUUGCACAAUGGGCGGAAGCCUGAUGCAGCAACGCCGCGUGCGGGAUGACGGCCUUCGGGUUGUAAACCGCUUUCGCCUGUGACGAAGCGUGAGUGACGGUAAUGGGAAAAGAAGCACCGGCUAACUACGUG
rnacentral:rRNA from 1 species